AUAUAUCAGUUAGUAAUGAAUGCUGAACAAAAAAUUACAAAGUUAAUCUGUUAAAUUUUGAUAGAAGAAAAUGUAUAAAUACAAAAGAUGUAACAUUUGAUCGAUCAUUGAUUUAUUUAAGGUAAAUAUUUUAUGUGUUUAUAAAAUUAAAGAUUUUGCUUAAGUUAUUCUAAUAUGAAACAGAUAUGUUUUAUAUAAUUUAACCUAAUUUUUGCGGUAUACCAAAUAUAUCAAGCCAUAUGUAUCAAAGAUAAAUAGAAGAGAUCGUAGAUCUAAACUUACGUUCGUACUUUUCUAUCUAAUAUUAAUAUACGACUACCUAGGAAUAUGUACAGAAUCGAAGAAAAUUAAGGAAUAAAAUACCUAUUUGCGAUUAUUGGUAUGAGCCUACAUGACGAUCGAUAACGAUUAACUUUCCAAUUUUCAUAGUUGAGUUUGCGAUGUGAUAUACGAAAUUUGUUUAAUUUCUAUAGUAUUUCAUCAUAUUAUAUAACAACAAUAAAAUUUCUUGUCUAUAAAAAAAUGAAAAGACAUCCCAAUGUAAA
rnacentral:misc_RNA from 1 species